AUUGAACGCUGGCGGCAUGCCUUACACAUGCAAGUCGAACGGUAACAGGUCUUCGGAUGCUGACGAGUGGCGAACGGGUGAGUAAUACAUCGGAACGUGCCCAAUCGUGGGGGAUAACGCAGCGAAAGCUGUGCUAAUACCGCAUAAGAUCUACGGAUGAAAGCGGGGGAUCGCAAGACCUCGCGCGAAUGGAGCGGCCGAUGGCAGAUUAGGUAGUUGGCGGGGUAAAAGCCCACCAAGCCGACGAUCUGUAGCUGGUCUGAGAGGACGACCAGCCACACUGGGACUGAGACACGGCCCAGACUCCUACGGGAGGCAGCAGUGGGGAAUUUUGGACAAUGGGCGAAAGCCUGAUCCAGCCAUGCCGCGUGCAGGAUGAAGGCCUUCGGGUUGUAAACUGCUUUUGUACGGAACGAAAAGGUUUGGGCUAAUAAGCUGAGCUCAUGACGGUACCGUAAGAAUAAGCACCGGCUAACUACGUGCCAGCAGCCGCCGUAA
rnacentral:rRNA from 1 species